GAUGACGUUGAUAGGCCGGGUGUGUAAGCGCAGCGAUGCGUUGAGCUAACCGGUACUAAUGAACCGUGAGGCUUAACCUU
rnacentral:rRNA from 1 species